AGAGUUUGAUCCUGGCUCAGAACGAACGCUGGCGGCGUGCCUAACACAUGCAAGUCGAACGGAGAUAAGGGGCUUGCUCCUUAUUUUAGUGGCGCACGGGUGAGUAACGCGUGGAUAAUCUACCUUGGAAUCUGGGAUAACAUCUCGAAAGGGGUGCUAAUACCGGAUAAGACCACGAGCUCUUUGGAGUUUGCGGUAAAAGGGGGCCUCUGUAUAUGCUUCUGUUUCAAGAUGAGUCCGCGUACCAUUAGCUAGUUGGCAGGGUAAUGGCCUACCAAGGCGACGAUGGUUAGCUGGUCUGAGAGGAUGAUCAGCCACACUGGAACUGAGACACGGUCCAGACUCCUACGGGAGGCAGCAGUGGGGAAUUUUGCGCAAUGGGGGAAACCCUGACGCAGCAACGCCGCGUGAGUGAUGAAGGCCUUCGGGUCGUAAAGCUCUGUCAGAGGGAAAGAAGUGUAUGGCGGUUAAUACCCGUUGUACUUGACGGUACCCUCAAAGGAAGCACCGGCUAACUCCGUGCCAGCAGCCGCGGUAAUACGGAGGGUGCAAGCGUUGUUCGGAAUUAUUGGGCGUAAAGCGCGUGUAGGCGGUUUUUUAAGUCUGAUGUGAAAGCCCCGGGCUCAACCUGGGAAGUGCAUUGGAUACUGGAAGACUUGAGUACGGGAGAGGGUAGUGGAAUUCCUAGUGUAGGAGUGAAAUCCGUAGAUAUUAGGAGGAACACCGGUGGCGAAGGCGGCUGCCUGGACCGAUACUGACGCUGAGACGCGAAAGCGUGGGGAGCAAACAGGAUUAGAUACC
rnacentral:rRNA from 1 species